GCCGACGUAGCUCAACUGGCAGAGCAGCGGUUUUGUAAACCGCCGGUUGGGGGUUCGAUUCCCUCCGUCGGCUCCA
rnacentral:tRNA from 1 species